rnacentral:rRNA from 1 species
UGGGGAAUAUUGGACAAUGGGGGCAACCCUGAUCCAGCAAUGCCGCGUGUGUGAAGAAGGCCUUCGGGUUGUAAAGCACUUUCAGUUGGGAAGAACUACUCCAGGUUAAUAACCUGAGAGAUGUGACGUUACCUUCAGAAGAAGCACCGGCUAACUCUGUGCCAGCAGCCGCGGUAAUACAGAGGGUGCAAGCGUUAAUCGGAUUUACUGGGCGUAAAGCGCGUGUAGGCGGAUAUUUAAGUCAGAUGUGAAAGCCCCGAGCUUAACUUGGGAACUGCAUCUGAGACUGGAUGUCUAGAGUAUGGUAGAGGAUAGUGGAAUUUCCGGUGUAGCGGUGAAAUGCGUAGAUAUCGGAAAGAACACCAGUGGCGAAGGCGACUGUCUGGAUCAAUACUGACGCUGAGACGCGAAAGCGUGGGGAGCAAACAGG